AGAGCAUCAAUCCAGGAAUUUAGGGCUCAUGGGUGCCAUCUUGGAGACAAGCUAGCAUGCCUGUAAUGCUAGAAGCUGAACCCAGGAGCACCAUCAGAGGCUGUAGAUUCUGAAACUUCUAACAGAGUUUGACACGGACAUUUGCCCCAGUGUGUCAUGCUCAGAGGAAUGACUCAUAGGUCCUAAUGAGAGAGCACACUUUGGAAAAGGAUGACUGACUUUUAGAAGGAAGACCCAAACAAACCGGUCAACAGAAAUGGAGUGCUGCUCUAGUGCCAUGCCCGAGACACCUGCCAAUAGUCCUCUGCCACUCGCCAUCCCUGCAUCAGCAUCUGGGACAUGGUCAUUACAC